AGCAAGUGCUGGCUAUUCUGUUCAAAAAGUACAGAUUCCCGGGCCGUAACUUCGAGGAAGAUGAACAAGUAAAGAACAGCCUUUGUUCCAUCUUCACCAUGUGGAUGGACUGCUACCCUGCAGAUUUCCGAGAGCCCCAGAACCGACACCCGGUGAAAGAACUGACCCACUAUGCCAUGCUCCACAUGCCCUCCUCAGAUCUGGUCCUCAAUCUCCACGUUCAUCUGGAUGAGCUGGAGGAGACCGGGAAGAAUGAGACCAAGAAACAGAGGAAGAAGUCCCUGUGUGGUCACCUCAGAGCUUGUGA